UCCCACAGCCUGCCAGGCCGGCCGCCAGCGCCCUAGGGAAACCCUAGGCGCGGGUGCUCCUGGGAGGGAGCCAUCACCACCGUAUCUUCGCUCUAUGGUUGCGCCCUUAGCAUUCGUGCCACUCCCGAUAGCUCCCUGGAGCCCUCCCUAAUGUGUGCUACGUGACCUCGCCAAACAUGGAUGGCGAGGAUGGUCGCCUCCUUUAAAUUUCAUGUGCUUCAAUUAGUUUCCCCUCUCCAAACCUCAAAUGGUGAAGUGGGACAUGUGCUUCAAUUUAUGUAUGCAACAACUGUGUAUAAUAUUAUACCAACUUAUCUAAUAUACCAGCUUUGAAUUUGUCUAUUGGAUGUCUAUUUCCGAAUUAAGUUUCUAUCUCCCGUUCGUUUCCGUCAAAUUCCAUUCGUAUUAGUUCAUUUUCGUCUGCAUGUCCUGAUCCUAUUUUCGAUUUUAACUUAUCCAAACGUGAUUCAUCCCUCCCCCUAUACCCGGGUAUGGUCGGUCCUUGUGCAACAACAUUAUCACAUACCUUUUAGGUUGCAGCUGUCAGAUGAAAAGUUGACCAUGUUGAUCAUCAUUUUAUCCAAAUUGUGUCCGGAGUUAUUGAAUUUCUCUGUCCUAAGACCGUCUGCAGCAGUCUACCCAUAGUUUACCCAAAAGCACUGUUUUGUACUAUAGAUUGCGCUGUUCGCAGAGUAGAGUUUGAAUAUGGGUAUGGGGAUGGGUAAGCUGCUGGAGAUAGUCUAAGAUGCCUGAAAAAGAAUAAUCAAUGCUUUAGGAGCUUCUUGGAUCCAGCCAGCUUACAUUAUGUAGUUCAAUCUAGAAAUGCAAUGCUACUAUGUAGUUCAAUCUAGAAAUGCAAUGCUAAUAUGCAGCCGGCAAUUUAAACAAACCAUGAAUACUAAAGAGAGUUUGGUAGUAUGCUUAAAAUUUCCUCAAAGAAAUGCACCUUUCUUAGAGCCUGUCAGUAGAAGAAACCCACGCCUGUAGAACUGCAAGCCAACAUACCUCUCAUGCACCUCUGUGGCAAGUGCGGUCUUGCCGGAGCCACGGAUUCCCAUGAUGGAGAUCAUCUUGGGCUGCUUUAUUUUCUUUAGGCCCACUGACUCAUCGAUCAAAUGUUGUACAAGCCUGUCCCUAGGAUCACCGAUAACGACAAUAUCUCACUGGAACUGUAAUAAUUUCUAACUGGUAACUCUCAUAGGUCAUACAAAUUCAAUGACAAAAAAUAUACAUAAAUUGCCUUGCACAGAGUUACCCAACAUAGUACACAUAAAUUUCUCUCCGGUAACCCUAUGUGUACUAUUAAGUUUAUGACAUCCUUACUUGAAAUUAAGCCUCAUUCCAAUCACACAAACCUAAACAUAUAUAUUGUCUACAUUUAGUAUUACUUAUAUAGUUGUCUAUCCAGAUUUCUUAAGUUGCACAUGGAUCAUAUGGGACCAAUACAAAACAAUCGAGAAUACUGGAACAUUUCUUGCAGUUAAACAUACAGUGUUGUCUACCAUUUUUUUAUAGUCACACAUGCACACAGCAGUAUAGACAACAGUGUCAGUUUUCUCAAAGAUCAAUCCAUCAAACAACUUAGUUAAGGUGGAUAGUAACAUUCACUAAAACAUACCAGAUACCACAUAGAUAUGCAAUAUCAGAGACCAAGUGUGGGCCUGGGCCUAAGCCCUAAGGCCCUAGUUUUUGGCCCAAUAAUCUUACAAACCCCUAUAAAUUGUUAGCCCAAUAAUGAAGGUCCAACACUAAAAGCUAGUGUCCUCAAUCAUCAGCUCCCAACCGUCUGUCUGUCACGCUACGCAGAGGAACAAGUGGCCUGCACAGUGGCAUCGCCAUUGGUUUUACUAUAAGCUGACUAGCUUGUCGGGCACAGAAAGUGAUUUCUGCGAAGGGCUAACCCUAUUGGUGGUUGUGACUGUGAAGGGAGGGUGCCGUGACGGAGGUGUCGCCAAAGGGGGUGGAUGCUCUAUGAGAGUUGGCGGAGCAUUUGUGCGAAUCUUUGAAGAGUUUGUGUGUGCGAAGGUAGGUGGUGCCCACUUUAGGCUGCCAAGGUUCUAGGGAUAUGUGACAAUUAAGAGUUUUUGUGGGAGCCCUCGGUGGCCCGAUGGUGCACCCUCCUCGUGUUCUCCUUAUGUUGCCUGAUAUGGCGAGGAUGACUCCAAAGGUAUAUCUCGAGUUGUAGACGGUGACCUGAGUAAUCAGUUCAUUCUUAAUUUGUUGUUGUUGUUGCCGAAGUUGUUAUAUUGGUGGUGGAAAAGGUAAGGCGAGGUGUGGAUUUCACAUUUAAGGCGGGGUCUGCAGGUUUGUUACUAUGUAGGAUUACAAAGGUGCGCGACUUUGGUGGUGAAAAGUGUAAUGGUUGCCGUCGAGCGAAAGGGUCUCUAGCCUAGUUAGUUAGGUGGUCUGAGUAGCCGUGGGAGAGAAUUUCAGGACGGGGUUAAAAAAAUCACCUCGUCUGUCCCACGCCAAAACACAGGCCUAAGGUCCGGCCCCGGUCGCGAUCGUUCUCACAUGGGCUACAGCACAGUUGUGUAUUAGUGGGAUAGGGGUUUGGGGGGUUUUCUUGACCUGCAUGAGGUCUUCUUCUUAGUUGUAAUGCCAUGGGGCGGUCUUAACCCCCGCAGAUCGAGUUUUUUUAAUGGUUGUCGUCGAGCUGAUUGUUAUAGGUUUGGUGUUGCUGGUUCGAAGUUGGGUAAUUGUGGAAAUGGUGGUAGGGGUGUUCCGUAGUUGACAAGGGUGCAGUUGUAUGGUGAGUUGGGUGGGAUUAUCCAGGGGUUUUGGGUGUGAUUGACAGGUUUUGGCGCAGAGGUUGAUUGCCGAGAUGCUGCAGAUGCUAGGCAUCGAAAACCAAUUGAGAAAAAUGCAUCGAACAGAAAAUUAAUGGUGCAAGGGAGACUGGUUGGGAGAACUGAGAAGCUAUUUGAGGAGGUAAAGGAUUUAUGUGUCAAUCGUUGUUAUUGUCCCAAAUAUGGAAGAUGUACUAACUAUUAGAGGUUCAAGGUAUCGAGCACAACAGCAGGUAACCUACUACCAUCAUUCAGCCAUGAAUGCGCUCCACGGUGGGUUAAAAGAAAAUCUCCAAAUGCUUUCACUAGCAGGUCAAAUAGAGGUAAAACUGGGGCAGGAAAACCGAUUCCACAAACAACUAGAUGAUAAUUAGUACCCAUACAGUCACAGAAUUUUAGUCAGCCUACAUGCAGGUGCGGGGAAAAAACGCACACAAUGACCUGGCCCUAUCGAAUUGAAUGCAUAAGACUACCAAGGCGAAUUAACUGGGAUUGGGUCUGUAGCGAUGGGAGGUACUCCAUGAGCUCACCUCCUGCCGAGACUGGGGGCCAUCCGCCCCGAUCCGAGCACCGUUAGGACUCGCUACAUCACACCAUUGGGCCUCCCUACGCUGUCAUCCCUACACGGGCAAGCAGAAGCGGUCAAGCUCGUUGCUUCGAUGGGGCCCCUUAGUGCAGCGACACUAGACGUAGUAGAAGGAAAGGAGUAGGCCGUGCUUCUCACCGCUGCACCUCCAAGAUUCUUUGAGAUCUUCAUCCACGGUCGCAGUUAGGAUGGCUAGGGGCGUGGGGAGAGUCGAGGGGUGCCGCCGAUGCCGAGAUUUGGAUCUUAGCCGAGAUGAACGGCCGCCAUCGAUCCAGGUGAGGAGGUGGCUCCUGCUAGCCUCGCUCAUCGUCGAGCAGCAUUUGCCGUGGGUUGCAAUUGCAAGGCGGCAGCGAAGCGCCCGACGAGGAGCACCGGACAGCACGGAGGAGAAGCGGUGGGUCAGGACUAUACGGGGGGCAUGGGUGGACAGUGUAAAAUUGAA
rnacentral:lncRNA from 1 species